rnacentral:rRNA from 1 species
UACGGAGGGUGCAAGCGUUACUCGGAAUCACUGGGCGUAAAGGACGCGUAGGCUGUUUAGCAAGUCAGAUGUGAAAUCCAAUGGCUCAACCAUUGAACUGCAUUUGAAACUGCUAGACUAGAGUAUGGGAGGGGGAGAUGGAAUUAGUGGUGUAGGGGUAAAAUCCGUAGAUAUCACUAGGAAUACCUAAAGCGAAGGCGAUCUCCUGGAACAUUACUGACGCUAAGGCGUGAAAGCGUGGGGAGCAAACAGGAUUAGAUACCCUGGUAGUCCACGCCCUAAACGAUGAACACUAGUCGUCGCGAUGCUUGUCAUUGCGGUGAUGCACUUAACAGAUUAAGUGUUCCGCCUGGGGAGUACGGUCGCAAGAUUAAAACUCAAAGGAAUAGACGGGGACCCGCACAAGUGGUGGAGCAUGUGGUUUAAUUCGAAGAUACGCGAAAAACCUUACCUAGCCUUGACAUUGAUAGAAUACUGUAGAGAUACGGUAGUGCCCUUCGGGGAGCUUGAAAACAGGUGCUGCACGGCUGUCGUCAGCUCGUGUCGUGAGAUGUUGGGUUAAGUCCCGCAACGAGCGCAACCCUCGUCCUUAGUUGCCAGCAGGUUAAGCUGGGCACUCUAGGGAGACUGCCUUCGUAAGGAGGAGGAAGGUGAGGACGACGUCAAGUCAUCAUGGCCCUUAUGGCUAGGGCUACACACGUGCUACAAUGGGGCGUACAGAGUGUUGCAAUACCGCGAGGUGGAGCCAAUCACUUAAAGCGUCUCUCAGUUCGGAUUGUUCUCUGCAACUCGAGAACAUGAAGCUGGAAUCACUAGUAAUCGUAGAUCAGCAUUGCUACGGUGAAUACGUUCCCGGGUCU